AAAUCUCAAAUUGAUCAAAGGAGGACAUUUACCAAAUUAAUAUCAUUCAUUCAUUUUGGGAGAUGGAAUGUAUAUUCCAUCAAUCCCCUAAAUCCAAUGAUAUUAAUUUGACAAAGUCAAAUCAACAUUGACCAAGGCCCAACAACAAGAGUCAAACACCAACAAGUCAUCACAAUUGGUCAACAAAUUUAUUUGGCAUUUAUUCCAAUU
rnacentral:lncRNA from 1 species